rnacentral:rRNA from 1 species
AGAGUUUGAUCAUGGCUCAGAUUGAACGCUGGCGGCAGGCUUAACACAUGCAAGUCGAGCGGAGAUGAGGUGCUUGCACCUUAUCUUAGCGGCGGACGGGUGAGUAAUGCUUAGGAAUCUGCCUAUUAGUGGGGGACAACAUUCCGAAAGGAAUGCUAAUACCGCAUACGUCCUACGGGAGAAAGCAGGGGAUCUUCGGACCUUGCGCUAAUAGAUGAGCCUAAGUCGGAUUAGCUAGUUGGUGGGGUAAAGGCCUACCAAGGCGACGAUCUGUAGCGGGUCUGAGAGGAUGAUCCGCCACACUGGGACUGAGACACGGCCCAGACUCCUACGGGAGGCAGCAGUGGGGAAUAUUGGACAAUGGGGGGAACCCUGAUCCAGCCAUGGCCGCGUGUGUGAAGAAGGCCUUAUGGUUGUAAAGCACUUUAAGCGAGGAGGAGGCUACUGAGACUAAUACUCUUGGAUAGUGGACGUUACUCGCAGAAUAAGCACCGGCUAACUCUGUGCCAGCAGCCGCGGUAAUACAGAGGGUGCGAGCGUUAAUCGGAUUUACUGGGCGUAAAGCGUGCGUAGGCGGCUUUUUAAGUCGGAUGUGAAAUCCCCGAGCUUAACUUGGGAAUUGCAUUCGAUACUGGGAAGCUAGAGUAUGGGAGAGGAUGGUAGAAUUCCAGGUGUAGCGGUGAAAUGCGUAGAGAUCUGGAGGAAUACCGAUGGCGAAGGCAGCCAUCUGGCCUAAUACUGACGCUGAGGUACGAAAGC